CGGCGUGGAUAAGACAUGCAAGUCGAGCGCUGGUUAGGCGGUAGCAAUAUCGCUUGACCGGAGCGGCGCAAGGGUGCGUAACACGUGGGUAAUUUGCCAUGAAGUUGGGGAUAACUCGCUGAAAGGCGAGCUAAUACCGAAUGUGACCCGAGGGAGGCAUCUCUCUUUGGUUAAAGCUGGGGACCGUAAGGCCUGACGCUUCAUGAUAAACCCGCGGCCUAUCAGCUAGUUGGUGAGGUAACGGCCCACCAAGGCUAAGACGGGUAGCUGGUCUGAGAGGACGACCAGCCACACUGGAACUGAGACACGGUCCAGACACCUACGGGUGGCAGCAGUCGAGAAUUUUUCACAAUGGGGGAAACCCUGAUGGAGCGACGCCGCGUGGGGGAUGAAUGGCUUCGGCCCGUAAACGCCUGUCAUUUGCGAACAAAUUUCUUCACCCAAUAC
rnacentral:rRNA from 1 species